CUCCGGUUGAUCCCGCCGGACCUGACUGCUAUCGGAUUGGUACUAAGCCAUGCGAGUCGUUGUAGCAAUACAAGGCGGACGGCUCAGUAACACGUAGUCAACCUAACCUAUGGACGUGGAUAACCUCGGGAAACUGAGAAUAAACCGCGAUAGAUCAUUAUGCCUGGAAUGGCUUAUGGUUCAAACAAUUUAUUGCCGUAGGAUGGGACUGCGGCCUAUCAGCUUGUUGGUGAGGUAAUGGCCCACCAAGGCUAUAACAGGUACGGGCUCUGAGAGGAGAAGCCCGGAGAUGGGUACUGAGACACGGACCCAGGCCCUAUGGGGCGCAGCAGGCGAGAAACCUUAGCAAUGUGCGAAAGCACGACUAGGUUAAUCCGAGUGAUUUCUGUUGAAGAAAUCUUUUGUCAGUCGUAAAACCACAGACGAAUAAGGGGUGGGCAAGUCUGGUGUCAGCCGCCGCGGUAAUACCAGCACCUCGAGUGGUCAGGAGGUUUAUUGGGCCUAAAGCAUCCGUAGCCGGCUACGCAAGUCUCCGGUUAAAUCCAGCUGCUCAACAGAUGGACUGCCGGAGAUACUACAUAGCUAGGGAGCGGGAGAGGUAGACGGUAUUCUGUGGGUAGGGGUAAAAUCCACUGAUCCAUAGAGGACCACCAGUGGCGAAGGCGGUCUACCAGAACGCGUUCGACGGUGAGGGAUGAAAGCUGGGGGAGCAAACCGGAUUAGAUACCCGGGUAGUCCCAGCUGUAAACGAUGCAAACUCGGUGAUGCAUUGGCUUAUGGCCAAUGCAGUGCCGCAGGGAAGCCGUUAAGUUUGCCGCCUGGGAAGUACGGACGCAAGUCUGAAACUUAAAGGAAUUGGCGGGGGAGCA
rnacentral:rRNA from 1 species